AUCGGGUCUGUCUAACUCUAGAGCACAUGCUCUCUCUGUUGAAACCCACUACAUGCGGCAGGUAUUGCAGUGGAGGAGGAAACAAAGUCAAAUGCAUAGUAGGACCUGGAAAUCUCUGCCAACAAGGCAACUGGGAAAGAGAAGGGCUGAAUGAACACAAAAUUUCUGGUUGCUGCACAAAAUAGGAUCAAAGAAGAGAGAAGAAGAAUAGAGAUACAUGAUUCUCACCUGCCUUUCCUUUAUGGCAAAUAUUUCUGCUUUGGAAGUUUCCAGCAAGUGCUUUUUCUCAUUCUGAGCACCCUCCUGUGCAUUGGGGCUGAACUUUCAACUCUACUCUCUGCCCGUGUCAUCUUUUGUGAGUAUUCUCUUCCUUUAAAUUCCCUCCGAGG
rnacentral:lncRNA from 1 species